rnacentral:lncRNA from 1 species
UUAAAGUGUGCUUUCAGUGUGGGAGAGCCAUGUAGCUCUACAACUUCUCCACUUCUCCAUCUUUAUCUUUUCACCGAAACCUGGCUCAACAACAGCGUCCCGGACCACGCCGUUCAGCUGGAGCGGCUAACAUGCUAUCGGGCGGACCGCACGCUAGCUGACGGAGGUAAGAGCCGCGGCGGCGGGCUCUGUGUUUACAUCAGCGAUGCUUGGUGUCGGAACGUUGUUGUGGUCUGUAAACACUGCUCACCGGUAGUGGAACUGAUGAUUAUCAAAUGCCGUCCGUUCUAUCUACCGAGAGAUUUCUCCGCCGUGCUGAUCGCUGCUGUUUACAUCCCUCCGACCUCCAACAACAGCGUGAGGAGUGAAGCACUGAAUGAACUGUACCAGUACAUCAGUGAACAGCAGACAGCGCACCCAGAUGCUUUUCUCAUUCUGGCUGGAGAUUUCAACCAUGCAGACCCAAAGAGUGUGUUUUCUGGACUUUUUAAACACAUAGACUUUCCAACCAGGGGAAGCAACAUAUUGGACCAGGUCUUUACUACACACAGAGGAGCCUACCGAGCCUCCCCCCUCCCCCACCUGGGAGCCUCUGAUCACCUCACCAUUAUGCUAAUGCCAGCUUACAGACCACUGGUUAAAGUCACCAAACCAGUUCUUAAGCAGGUACGAGUAUGGCCAGAGGGUUCCUCAGAGGCACUUCAGGACUGUUUCAGCACAACAGACUGGAAUAUGUUCAGAGAGGCUGCCACCCACAACAACUCCACAGACAUUCAGGAGUACACAGAAACUGUCUCUGCCUACAUCACCAAGUGCACUGAUGAUGUAACCGACCUCAAGACCGUCACUGUUCGAGCGAAUCAGAAACCAUGGCUGACAGGAGAGGUCCACAAGCUCCUGAAGGCUAGAAAUGCAGCCUUCAGAACAGGUGACCAGGCAGGCCUGAGGUCAGCCAAUGCACAAAGUACUGGUCCCUUCCAAAUGGACUUGCACUACACAACACCUGCACUACUGAUAUACUUGCACUGUCAAUACGCACUUUAAUGGGUUUGCCAUUCUUUAUUAUC